ACAACAACAAACUACAGGUGAAUAAACUACAGGUAAUAAACUACAGGUAAUAAACUAUAGGUGAACAAACUACAGGUAUUAAACUACAGGUGAAUAAACUACAGGUAAUAAACUACAGGUAAUAAACUACAGGUGAAUAAACUACAGGUAAUAAACUACAGGUAAUAAACUACAGGUGAAUAAACUACAGGUAAUAAACUACAGGUGAAUAAACUACAGGUAAUAAACUACAGGUAAUAAACUACAGGUGAAUAAACUACAGGUAAUAAACUAUAGGUGAAUAAACUACAGGUAAUAAACUACAGGUAAUAAACUACAGGUGAAUAAACUACAGGUAAUAAACUACAGGUGAAUAAACUACAGGGAAUAAACUACAGGGAAUAAACUACAGGUGAAUAAACUACAGGUAAUAAACUACAGGUAAUAAACUACAGGCGAAUAAACUACAGGCGAAUAAACUACAGGUAAUAAACUACAGGUGAAUAAACUACAGGUGAAUAAACUACAGGUGAAUAAAUUACAGGUGAAUAAAUUACAGGUGAAUAAACUACAGGUAAUAAACUACAGGUGAAUAAACUACAGGUAAUAAACUACAGGUAAUAAACUACAGGUGAAUAAACUACAGGUGAAUAAACUACAGGUAAUAAACUACAGGUGAAUAAACUACAGGUGAAUAAACUACAGGUAAUAAACUACAGGUGAAUAAACUACAGGUAAUAAACUACAGGUAAUAAACUACAGGUGAAUAAACUACAGGUGAAUAAACUACAGGUAAUAAACUACAGGUGAAUAAACUACAGGUAAAUAAACUACAAAACUACAGGUAAUAAACUACAGGUGAAUAAACUACAGGUAAUAAAACUACAGGUAAUAAACUACAGGUGAAUAAACUACAGGUGAAUAAACUACAGGUAAUAAACUACAGGUGAAUAAACUACAGGUAAUAAACUACAGGUGAAUAAACUACAGGUGAAUAAACUACAGGUGAAUAAACUACAGGUGAAUAAACUACAGGUAAUAAACUACAGGUAAUAAACUACAGGUGAAUAAACUACAGGUAAUAAACUACAGGUGAAUAAACUACAGGUAAUAAACUACAGGUAAUAAACUACAGGUGAAUAAACUACAGGUAAUAAACUACAGGUGAAUAAACUACAGGUAAUAAACUACAGGUGAAUAAACUACAGGUGAAUAAACUACAGGUGAAUACACUACAGGUAAAUAAACUACAGGUGAAUAAACUACAAAACUACAGGUAAUAAACUACAGGUAAAUAAACUACAGGUGAAUAAACUACAGGUAAUAAACUACAGGUGAAUAAACUACAGGUGAAUAAACUACAGGUGAAUAAACUACAGGUGAAUAAACUACAGGUAAUAAACUACAGGUGAAUAAACUACAGGUAAUAAACUACAGGUGAAUAAACUACAGGUAAUAAACUACAGGUAAUAAACUACAGGUGAAUAAACUACAGGUGAAUAAACUACAGGUAAUAAACUACAGGUGAAUAAACUACAGGUGAAUAAACUACAGGUAAUAAACUACAGGUGAAUAAACUACAGGUGAAUAAACUACAGGUAAUAAACUACAGGUGAAUAAACUACAGGUAAUAAACUACAGGUAAUAAACUACGGUGAAUAAACUACAGGUAAUAAACUACAGGUUAAUAAACUACAGGUGAAUAAACUACAGGUAAUAAACUACAGGUGAAUAAACUACAGGUAAUAAACUACAGGUAAUAAACUACAGG